UGAUUGAGUAGGAUGAGUUUCACUUUGUGCUUGUCCUUGCGUUUCUGCUUCAUCCUCAUCAUCAAUCUCCAUCCGCUCAUUCUCAGCAUUAAGAACUGCUAUUGUUUCAAGUGUCUGUGAAUCCAUUCUGCAAAACCAGUCAAAGACUCAGAGAAGCUCGUUGAGUCGUUUCCACGGCUCGCUACGCAGGGAGUUGGUUCAAUAAGAAAGGGUGAGCUGUGAUGUGAGUAUUUGUAUGGUUUCUUAAUGAAGAAGAAAGGGAAUGAAGAUUCUCCUCUUUUGUUCUAUGAAUCGUGAUUUUGCAGAGUAGAGAACAUAUACAUGUACAUGUAUAUGUUCUGAUUUUGAGAUCUGAGAUUUGUGACUGGCCACGGGAAAAACAAAAAAAAUUAGGGUAAAGAGAAACCAAUAAAACGAUGUCGACAAUGUCGUUUCA